rnacentral:rRNA from 1 species
AUUGAACGCUGGCGGCAGGCUUAACACAUGCAAGUCGAGCGGAGAUGAGGUGCUUGCACCUUAUCUUAGCGGCGGACGGGUGAGUAAUGCUUAGGAAUCUGCCUAUUAGUGGGGGACAACAUUCCGAAAGGAAUGCUAAUACCGCAUACGUCCUACGGGAGAAAGCAGGGGAUCUUCGGACCUUGCGCUAAUAGAUGAGCCUAAGUCGGAUUAGCUAGUUGGUGGGGUAAAGGCCUACCAAGGCGACGAUCUGUAGCGGGUCUGAGAGGAUGAUCCGCCACACUGGGGCUGAGACACGGCCCAGACUCCUACGGGAGGCAGCAGUGGGGAAUAUUGGACAAUGGGGGGAAACCUGAUCCAGCCAUGCCGCGUGUGUGAAGAAGGCCUUAUGGUUGUAAAGCACUUUAAGCGAGGAGGAGGCUACUGAGACUAAUACUCUUGGAUAGUGGACGUUACUCGCGGAAUAAGCACCGGCUAACUCUGUGCCAGCAGCCGCGGUAACAC